UUUUUUCCAUUUUAUAUUCUUGCCUCCUUUGUUGAAAAUUAAUUAACUGUAGGUGUCUGGGUUCAUUUCUGGGUUCUCUAUUCUGUUCCAUUGGUCUGUACGUCAGUUUUGGUACCAGUACCACACUGUUUUGAUGACUAGUUUUGGGGUUGUUUGUUCUAGUUCUGUAAAAAAUGUCAUGGGUAUUUUGAUACAUAUCACACUGAAUCUGUAGAUUGCUUUGGGCAGUAUGGCCAUUUUAAUAUUAAUUCCUCCAAUUCAGGAGCAUGGUAUAUCUUUCCAUUUCUUUGAAUCCUCUUUAAUUUCUCUGAUUAAUGCUUUAUAGUUCUUGGCAUAUAAGUCUUUCACCUCCUUGGUCAGGUUUAUUCCUAAGUAUUUGAUUUUUUUAGGUGCUAUUUUAAAAGGUAUUGUAUUUUUAUAUUCCUUUCUUUUGUCUUUCUAGGGCCAUACCCAUGGCAUAUGGAGGGUCCUAGGCUAAGGGUCAAAUCAGAGCUAUAGCUGCCAGCCUACACCACAGCCACAGCAAUGCGGGCUCUGAGCUGCGUCUGCAUCCUACACCACAGCUCACGGCAACACCAGAUCCCUGACGUACUGAGCAAGACCAAGGAUCGAACCUGCAUCCUUAAGGAUACUAAUCGGGUUCAUUAACCACUGAGCCACAAUAGGAACUCCUAUAUUCCUUUUCUGAUAUUUCAUUGUUAAUAUACAAAAAUGUGACCGAUUUCUGAAUGUUAAUUUUGUAUCCUGCUACUUUGCUGAAUUCGUUGAUCAGUUCUAUAGUUUUUGUGUAGAGUCCUUAGGGUUCUCUAUAUAUAGUAUCAUGUCAUCUACAUAGAGUGACAAUUUUACCUCUUCUCUUCCUAUUUGGAUACAUUUUAUUUCUUUUAUUUGUCUGAUUGCUGUUGCUAGGACUUCCAGUACUAUGUUGAAUAAGAGUGGUGAGAGUGGGCAUCCUUGUCUUGUUCCAGAUAUUGGUGGGAAGGUUUUCUGUAUUUCUCCAUUGAGUAUUAUUAUAUUUGCUAUGGGUUUGUCAUAAUUGGCUUUUAUUAUGUUACGGUUUGUUACUGCUAUACCUACUUUGGUAAGAGUUUUUUUUUAUCAUGAAUGGAUUUGGAUUUUGUCAAUUCUACAUCUAUUGAGAUGAUUGUGUGGCUUUUGACUUUUCCUUUGUUAAUGUAGUAUAUGAUGUUGAUUGAUUUGCAUAUGUGGAACCACUCUUGUGGACUUGGGAUGAAUCCCACUUGGUUGUGGUGCAUGAUCUUUUUUAUACAUUUUUGGAUUCAGUUGGAUAAAAUUUUGUUGAGAAUUUUUGCAUCUCUAUUCAUCAAAUACAUUGGCCUAUAAUUUUCUUUUUUGGGAGUUCCUGUUGUGACACAUUGGAAACAAAUCCGAAUAGUAACCAUGGGGUUGUGAGUUCAAUCCCUGGCCUCUCUCAGUAGGUUAAGGAUCUGGCAU
rnacentral:lncRNA from 1 species